rnacentral:lncRNA from 1 species
CUGUCUGGCAGAGUGACUCCAGGGUAUCAGAUUAUUUAUCAUUUUUCCCCUUAUUUUCCCUAGGUUCUUCCAAUCCUCAGCUCCCACAGACUUCAUAUUUCUUCCUGAAAAAAGUACAAAAGCUCUAAUGCAUUUCAACUUGUCCAAAUGGGCCCUCAAUAUGGAAGAUGACUUCAGUCUCUCAAAUAGCAUGGAUCCUAAGAGGUAUAUAAUAUUGGGGAAAAUCCACAGGUGUGGAGGUCCAGAGCCUGAGAGUAUAGUCCUGCUUCCACCAUGAAGAAGGGUCUAUGGACAUUGAAGAAAAGUUUAGUAUCAGCACAAAAAGAGGACGACACCUGAGUAGAAUCAUGGCUCCUCUACUCAGGAGCAGCAGCUAAGGAGAAGGAAGAGCAGCUUGUGCUGUGACCUUGGGUAAGUCCUUGGGCUUAUCUGUGCCUCUGUUUCCUCCUCUAUUGAGUC